AAAAAGGGCUUCUGUUGUGAGUGACACAUGUAUGCCAACUCAUUUGUUCUGUAUAGACUCGACACCAAGAGAUUUUUAAAGCAUAAUUUUUUUGGUAGUUGGGCAGCUAGUGUUCAU
ensembl:snRNA